GAUGAAGAACGUAGCGAAAUGCGAUAAGUAAUGUGAAUUGCAGAAUUCAGUGAAUCAUCGAAUCUUUGAACGCACCUUGCACCCUUUGGCAUUCCGAAGGGUAUGCUCGUUUGAGUGUCAUUGUACUCUAACACUUCCGAUCUUUGGAUUGGGAGCGGUGGACUUGGGUGUUGCUGCUUACUGUGGCUCACCUCAAAUCGAUUCGUGCACCUCUUGGUUGGACAUAGUACGGCGUGAUAAGUGUCUUCGCCGGCACCUCAGUAGAGGGUGGCUGAUCGGGAGCUCUGCUUCAAACCGUCCUCGGACAACAACUGACAACUUGACCUCAAAUCGAGUAGGACUACCCGCUGAACUUAAGCAUAUCAAUAAGCGGAGGA
rnacentral:misc_RNA from 1 species